rnacentral:rRNA from 1 species
AACGAACGCUGGCGGCAUGCCUAACACAUGCAAGUCGAACGAUACCUUCGGGUAUUUUUACGCACGGGUGCGUAAGCCGAGGGAACCUUCCCUUAGGGUCGGAAUAACUCCCCGCGAGGGGUGCUAAUACCGGAUAAUGUCUUCGGACCAAAGAUUUAUUGCCUUUGAAUGUGCAAGCGUUGAAUUAGCUAUUUGGUAAGGUAAAAGCCCACCCAGGGUAAGUUACAUAGCUGGUCUGGGAGGACGACCCGAAACACUGGGGCUGAAACCCGUCGCAGACUCUUACGGGAGGCAGAAGUGGGGAAUAUGGGACGACGGGCGAAAGACUGAGCCAGCAAGGCCGUGUGAGUGAUGAAGGCGUGAGGGUUGUAAGGCUCUUUUAACCGGGCUGAUAGUGACAGUACCGGGAGAAUAAGCUCCGGCUAACUACGUG